GACUAAGUUAUCCGAUUUUAUCAGACAUACCAUUAUGAUCUCAAAUUAAUAUCAAUGUGCAAGAUAGAUAGUUCGUUUUUCUGUUCCUGUUGUUAUCUGGUUUCAGGUAACCUACUAUCGACUAACAGCAAAAAAUAAUGGAACUAAACCGAGCCUAUCCAUAUCCUCUGCUGUCCCGUCUGUCAUAUAUUCUCCUGUCCAUCUUGUGUUGUCCUGCAUAUCCUACAUCCUAUGAAUGAAAUCUUGUAUGAAACCCUGACUGAAUGUUCAUCGCCUACUCUACGGUAUUCUAACCGCCACCACUCUCCGUUGAUGUACAAAUUAACAGGAAUAUGAGAGACGACGAUGAAAAGAAACGCAAAAGAAGAAAAUAAUAAAAAAGAAGGAGAAGGCAUUCAAGUUUAUUUUCCUGUAUCUCUAAACCGUCUAGAAUAACGAGCAACAACUUUGUUUCGCCGGGAAUGAUUAUUCAAGAAGAAUAAAUAAUCAUCACCUGUGAUCGCUUAGGUGCCCAAAUCAAAUGAUUAGAGUAUAAUUCAAUUAAAUGCUGCUCUCUUUGAGCGAUUCUUCCUGCACUCUAGAACACAAACAUUUAAAGUCAGAAAAAAAUCAUUAUGGAAGAAAACAACAUCUUGGCUGAGGCACUUGAUGACGUCAUUCUUCAAAGUACCAACUUGUUCGAAAGAGCCCAAAUGGCGGAAGCAGCUCUUGACUGAGUUGGAGAUAAUAUUAACAGCGUACAAGAUACAUGUCGACCGUAGAAGACAUCGUUGGUUCGUUGGUUAUAAGGAACAGAAGCAAGCUUUCCUCAACUUCAAACAAUCUCUUGCUAAACGUGAGACAGAACAAGAUCCGAGAAAGAAUAAUGAAGCAUGAAGUCUAAAA